AUUGAACGCUGGCGGCAUGCUUUACACAUGCAAGUCGAACGGUAACAGGCCUUCGGGUGCUGACGAGUGGCGGACGGGUGAGUAAUGCAUCGGAACGUACCCAGAGGUGGGGGAUAACGCAGCGAAAGCUGUGCUAAUACCGCAUGUGAUCUGAGGAUGAAAGCGGGGGACCGAGCAGCAAUGUUUGGCCUCGCGCCUUUGGAGCGGCCGAUGUCGGAUUAGCUAGUUGGUGGGGUAAAGGCCUACCAAGGCGACGAUCCGUAGCUGGUCUGAGAGGACGACCAGCCACACUGGGACUGAGCCACGGCCCAGACUCCUACGGGAGGCAGCAGUGGGGAAUUUUGGACAAAGGGCGCAAGCCUGAUCCAGCAAUGCCGCGUGCGGGAAGAAGGCCUUCGGGUUGUAAACCGCUUUUGGCAGGAACGAAACGGUGUCCGCUAAUACCGGGCGCUAAUGACGGUACCUGCAGAAUAAGCACCGGCUAACUACGUG
rnacentral:rRNA from 1 species